UAUAUCUGACAAUUGGCGAAAGCCUGAUCCAGCCAUGCCGCGUGUGUGAAGAAGGUUUUCGGUUUGCAACGCACGUUAAGUAGGGAGGAAGGGCCGUAAGUUAACUCCUUGCUGUUUUGACGUUACCGACAGAACAAGCUGUGGCAUACUUAGCUCUCUCAGCCGCGGUAAUACGAAGGGUGCAAGGGUUAAUCGGAAUUGUGGGGCGUAACGAGCGGAGAGGUGGUUUGUUGAGUUGGAAGUGAAAGCCCCGGGCUCAACCUGGGAACUGCUUUCAAAACUGACAAGCUAGAGUAUGACAGAGGGUGGUGAAAUUUCCUGUGUAGCGGUGAAAUGCGUAGAUAUAGGAAGGAACACCAGUGGCGAAGGCGACCACCUGGGCUAAUACUGACACUGAGGUGCGAAAACGUGGGGAGCAAAC
rnacentral:rRNA from 1 species